GACGAACGCUGGCGGCGUGCUUAACACAUGCAAGUCGAACGGAAAGGCCCUGCUUUUGUGGGGUGCUCGAGUGGCGAACGGGUGUGUAACACGUGAGUAACCUGCCCUUGACUUGGGGAUAACUUCAGGAAACUGGGGCUAAUACCGGAUAGGAGCUCCUGCUGCAUGGUGGGGGUUGGAAAGCUUCGGCGGUUGGGGAUGGACUCGCGGCUUAUCAGCUUGUUGGUGGGGUAGUGGCUUACCAAGGCUUUGACGGGUAGCCGGCCUGAGAGGGUGACCGGCCACAUUGGGACUGAGAUACGGCCCAGACUCCUACGGGAGGCAGCAGUGGGGAAUAUUGCACAAUGGGCGGAAGCCUGAUGCAGCGACGCCGCGUGCGGGAUGACGGCCUUCGGGUUGUAAACCGCUUUCGCCUGUGACGAAGCGUGAGUGACGGUAAUGGGUAAAGAAGCACCGGCUAACUACGUG
rnacentral:rRNA from 1 species